UCCGAUAUAGUGUAGGGGCUAUCACAUCACGCUCUCAUCUUGAGAACCGUGGAGACCGGGGUUCGAUUCCCCGUAUCGGAG
rfam:Yarrowia lipolytica strain CLIB122 chromosome F complete sequence.